rnacentral:rRNA from 1 species
AGCAGCCGCGGUAAUUCCAGCUCCAAUAGCGUAUAUUAAAGUUGUUGCAGUUAAAAGCUCGUAGUUGAAUUUUGGGUCUGGCCGGGCGGUCCGCCCUCUGGGUGAGCACUGUUCCGACGUCGGGCCUAUCCUUCUGGUGAGUCGGCAUGUCCUUUAUUGGGUGUGUCGGGGGAACCAGGACCAUUACCUUGAAAAAAUUAGAGUGUUCAAAGCAGGCGUAUGCUCGGAUACAUUAGCAUGGAAUAAUGAAAUAGGACGCGUGGUGCUAUUUUGUUGGUUUCUAGAACCGCCGUAAUGAUUAAUAGGGAUAGUUGGGGGCAUUAGUAUUCAAUUGUCAGAGGUGAAAUUCUUGGAUUUAUUGAAGACUAACUUCUGCGAAAGCAUUUGCCAAGGAUGUUUUCAUUAAUCAAGAACGAAAGUUAGGGGAUCGAAGACGAUCAGAUACCGUCGUAGUCUUAACCAUAAACUAUGCCGACUAGGAAUCGGGCGAUGUUAUUCUCAUGACUCGCCCGGCGCCUUA